rnacentral:RNase_P_RNA from 1 species
UGAGUCGGCCGGGUGGCCGCGGCGUCGUCGCCCUCGGGCGGCGGUGCUGAGGAAGGUCGGGGCUCCACAGGGCACGGUGCUGGCGCGAGCCAGGUGGGGGCGACCUCACGGAUCGGGCCACAGAGAACAGACCGCCGAUGGCCUCCUCCGGGAGGCACAGGCAAGGGUGAAACGGUGCGGUAAGAGCGCACCAGCGGUCAGGGCGACCUGGCCGGCUCGGCAACCCCCACCGGGAGCAAGGCCGAAUCGAGGGCAGGGCUGCUCGUCCGCCCCUCUCCGGAGGGACCCUCAGGUGGGCCGCACAGAUGGAUGGCCAUCCAUCGGGACCCCGGCAACGGACCCGAGGACAGAACCCCGCCUACAGGCCGACUCAUCGU